rnacentral:rRNA from 1 species
UAAGCGGCGGACGGGUGAGUAACGCGUGGGUAACCUACCCUGUACACACGGAUAACAUACCGAAAGGUAUGCUAAUACGGGAUAAUAUAUUUGAGAGGCAUCUCUUAAAUAUCAAAGGUGAGCCAGUACAGGAUGGACCCGCGUCUGAUUAGCUAGUUGGUAAGGUAACGGCUUACCAAGGCGACGAUCAGUAACCGACCUGAGAGGGUGAUCGGCCACAUUGGAACUGAGACACGGUCCAA